GAUGAACGCUGGCGGCGUGCCUAAUACAUGCAAGUCGAGCGAACGGACGAGAAGCUUGCUUCUCUGAUGUUAGCGGCGGACGGGUGAGUAACACGUGGAUAACCUACCUAUAAGACUGGGAUAACUUCGGGAAACCGUAGCUAAUACCGGAUAAUAUUUUGAACCGCAGGGUUCAAAAGUGAAAGACGGUCUUGCUGUAACUUAUAGAUGGAUCCGCGCUGCAUUAGCUAGUUGGUAAGGUAACGGCUUACCAAGGCAACGAUGCAUAACCGACCUGAUAGGGUGAUCGGCCACACUGGAACUGAGACACGGUCCAGACUCCUACGGGAGGCAGCAGUAGGGAAUCUUCCGCAAUGGGCGAAAGCCUUACGGAGCAACGCCGCGUGAGUGAUGAAGGUCUUCGGAUCGUAAAACUCUGUUAUUAGGGAAGAACAUAUGUGUAAGUAACUGUGCACAGCUUGACGGUACCUAAUCAGAAAGCCACGGCCAACUACGUG
rnacentral:rRNA from 1 species